rnacentral:lncRNA from 1 species
CACUGCCUGCAUACAAAAAUAUCUUCAUCUUCAUUACUUGAAUAUCUCAAUUUACUCUUUGGUUUUUGUGUUUAGGCCAUGAUGACCUUCACAGCCUUUUAAUGGCUGCCCUCUGGCGGUGACUUGUUGACGCUACACAUCUCCUACAAACAGAAUCUCUGCGAAAACAUGACAAUCAGCUUGGCCUGGAUAAGAACCUUCCUAAGAAGAGAUCUACCAUAAUUGAGAAAUUUAAGGUUCUGCUAUAUCCUUUUGGAACCCUGCUGUAUCAGUAUGAACUGAUGACCAAAAGUUCUUGAUCACUUCUCUUGGAAAAAUUCAACCCAAUGUUCUACUCUAUCAAGACAUUUUUGAGACCCUGUCCCAGAUCAGAAGUCCAGUGGCUCCUCAGAACUCAGGAGGGAAAAGGAAGAUCCAAAGAGUUAGAUAAUUUGUCCAACUUCAUCCAGUACCCUAAGUGUCUUCAAUCUUGCCUAGAUGCUGUUAGGUGA